rnacentral:rRNA from 1 species
AUUAAUUUGAUGUUAAUUAAAACUCAGAGUAGUAACAGAUAAUCUCCAAACUCAAAAAAUUUGGCGGCACCUUUCCCUAUUAGAGGAACCUGUCCCUUAAAUGAUGGUCCACGUUUUAACGUACCACUGUUUAUAGUUUGUAUACCGCCGUUAUUGGGAAUGUUUUAAAAUAUUUUCAUAAUUAUGUUAAUCAAAACUUCAGGUCAAGGUGCAGCUUAUACGGUGGUGGAGGUGGGUUACAUUAAUUAUAAUUAAACGGAUAAUUAAUUUUUAAAUUGAUUUGAAGGUGGAUUUAAUUGUAAUUUUAUUAUUUAAUAUAAUGAUUAG